GCCGACAUAGUUUAAUGGUAAAAUGGGCCCUUGGUAAGGGCCAGAGCAUGGGUUCGAUUCCCAUUGUCGGCU
rnacentral:tRNA from 1 species